CCUACGGGAGGCAGCAGUGGGGAAUAUUGCACAAUGGGGGAAACCCUGAUGCAGCGACGCCGCGUGAAGGAAGAAGUAUUUCGGUAUGUAAACUUCUAUCAGCAGGGAAGAAAAUGACGGUACCUGACUAAGAAGCCCCGGCUAACUACGUGCCAGCAGCCGCGGUAAUACGUAGGGGGCAAGCGUUAUCCGGAUUUACUGGGUGUAAAGGGAGCGUAGGCGGUUUAGCAAGUCAGAAGUGAAAGCCCGGGGCUCAACUCCGGGACUGCUUUUGAAACUGUUGUACUAGAGUGCAGGAGAGGUAAGUGGAAUUCCUAGUGUAGCGGUGAAAUGCGUAGAUAUUAGGAGGAACACCAGUGGCGAAGGCGGCUUACUGGACUGUAAAUGACGCUGAGGCGCGAAAGCGUGGGGAGCAAACAGGAUUAGAUACCCCAGUAGUC
rnacentral:rRNA from 1 species